AGCAGCCGCGGUAAUUCCAGCUCCAAUAGCGUAUAUUAAAGUUGUUGCAGUUAAAAAGCUCGUAGUUGAAUUUCGGGGUUAGCAGGUCGGUCGUGCCAUCGGUAUGAACUGGUCUCGCUGAUCCCUCCCUCUUGACGAACUGUGAUGCCAUUAAUUUGAUGUCGCAGGGAAUCAGGACUGUUACUUUGAAAAAAUUAGAGUGUUUAAAGCAGGCUCACGCUUGAAUACAUUAGCAUGGAAUAAUGAAAUAGGACGUUUGAUCCUAUUUUGCUGGUUUCUAGGAUUGACGUAAUGAUUAAUAGGGAUAGUUGGGGGCAUUAGUAUUCAAUUGUCAGAGGUGAAAUUCUUGGAUUUAUUGAAGACUAACUACUGCGAAAGCAUUUGCCAAGGAUGUUUUCAUUAAUUCAAGAACGAAAGUUAGGGGAGUCGAAGACGAUCAGAUACCGUCGUAGUCUUAACCAUAAACUAAUGCCGACUAGGGAUCGGAUGAUGUUAAUUUUUAAUGUAA
rnacentral:rRNA from 1 species